AACGGCCAUACCUUGAUGAAAGAACAGGUUCUCGUUCGAUCACCGAAGUUAUGCAUCAGCAGGUGUGGUCAGUUCUUGGGAGGGUGGCCAUCUGGAACACUGAGAGC